rnacentral:rRNA from 1 species
UACGUAGGGUGCAAGCGUUGUCCGGAAUUACUGGGCGUAAAGAGCUCGUAGGUGGUUUGUCGCGUUGUCCGUGAAAACUCACAACUCAAUUGUGGGCGUGCGGGCGAAUACGGGCAGACUGGAGUACUGCAGGGGGAGACGUGGAAUUCCUGGUGUAGCGGUGGAAUGCGCAGAGUAUCAGGAGGAACACCGGUGGCGAAGGCGGGUCGCUGGGCAGUAACUGACGCUGAGGAGCGAAAGCGUGGGGAGCGAACA